rnacentral:rRNA from 1 species
CCUACGGGUGGCAGCAGUGGGGAAUUUUGCGCAAUGGGGGAAACCCUGACGCAGCAACGCCGCGUGCGGGACGAAGGCCCUCGGGUUGUAAACCGCUUUCAGCAGGGAAGAUCCAAGACGGUACCUGCAGAAGAAGCUCCGGCUAACUACGUGCCAGCAGCCGCGGUAAUACGUAGGGGGCGAGCGUUAUCCGGAUUCAUUGGGCGUAAAGCGCGCGUAGGCGGCCGCCUAAGCGGGACCUCUAACCCCGGGGCUCAACCCCGGGCCGGGUCCCGGACUGGGCGGCUCGAGUGCGGUAGAGGAGAGCGGAAUUCCCGGUGUAGCGGUGGAAUGCGCAGAUAUCGGGAAGAACACCGAUGGCGAAGGCAGCUCUCUGGGCCGUCACUGACGCUGAGGCGCGAAAGCUGGGGGAGCGAACAGGAUUAGAUACCCUUGUAGUC